rnacentral:rRNA from 1 species
GAUGAACGCUGGCGGCGUGCUUAACACAUGCAAGUCUAACGGUGAAGGCGGAGCUUGCUCUGCUGUAUCAGUGGCGAACGGUUGAGUAACACGUUAGCAAUCUGCCCCUGACUCUGGGAUAAGCGCUGGAAACGGCGUCUAAUACUGGAUACGAGCUGCGAAGGCAUCUUCAGCAGCUGGAAAGAAUUUCGGUCAGGGAUGAGCUCGCGGCCUAUCAGCUUGUUGGUGAGGUAAUGGCUCACCAAGGCGUCGACGGGUAGCCGGCCUGAGAGGGUGACCGGCCACACUGGGACUGAGACACGGCCCAGACUCCUACGGGAGGCAGCAGUGGGGAAUAUUGCACAAUGGGCGAAAGCCUGAUGCAGCAACGCCGCGUGAGGGACGACGGCCUUCGGGUUGUAAACCUCUUUUAGCAGGGAAGAAGCGAAAGUGACGGUACCUGCAGAAAAAGCGCCGGCUAACUACGUG